rnacentral:lncRNA from 1 species
ACGUUUCAGAACCCUGCACCAAAUGCAACUGUGUACCCUUUGAAGGUGAGAGAGGGAGAGAAAGCUGUGAUGGAGGAACCGAUCACUUUUGCUGAAAUGUACAGGCGGAAAAUGAGCAAGGAUCUUGAGAUGGCAAGGAUAAAGAAGCUGGCUAAGGAAACGCAAGUGCAGGACCUUGACAAGGCAAAGCUAGAAUCCAAGACUCUGAAGGAAAUUCUUGCUUAAUUAAUUAGUCUUCAAAGUUACUUUAAAAUAAUUA